GUGGGUAUAGCUUAGUGGUAGAGUGCGUGCUUAGCAUAUAUGAGGUCCUGGGUUCAAACCCCCAGUACCUCCA
rnacentral:tRNA from 1 species